GUAAUUACCGAUGUCGUUCCUUCAUUGACAUGAGUGUUAAAAAACUCAUUUCCCGUGAGCUUAGUGAGUAAAAAAAGUUACG